rnacentral:rRNA from 1 species
CUGCGAACGGCUCACUAAAAGAGUUUGAAUGUGCGUGAAGGGUGAAGGUAGAAGGAUACCUUUCGGAAACGAAAGCUAAUACUUGCGAGAAUGGCGGAGGCAACGAAGCCAGCGUGUGUCAGGCGUAAACCAACGGAGUUGGGUGAGGCAUGACACGGCUCGCGGACCGGGUCCUAGCGUCCCGGCGCUUCACAUCACAUUCUCACCUAUCAGCUUGCAGGCAGGAUAGGGCCCUGUCUGGGCGGUAACGGGUCGCGGGGAAUGAGGGUUCGAUUCCGGAGAGGUCGCCUGAGAGACGGCGCCCAUACAUACGUGUAGCAGCAGGCGUGUAAAUUAUUCCUUCCAAAAGCUGGGAGAUAGCGAGUUCAUUGCCAAGGCGAGACCUUCGGGUCACGCACUUGGACUGGGCUUUAUGUAAAGACCAUUGUGAAUCCACUGGAGGGCAAGUCUGGU